rnacentral:rRNA from 1 species
CGCUGGCGGCGUGCUUAACACAUGCAAGUCGAACGGAAAGGCCCUGCUUUUGUGGGGUGCUCGAGUGGCGAACGGGUGAGUAACACGUGAGUAACCUGCCCUUGACUUUGGGAUAACUUCAGGAAACUGGGGCUAAUACCGGAUAGGAGCUCCUGCUGCAUGGUGGGGGUUGGAAAGUUUCGGCGGUUGGGGAUGGACUCGCGGCUUAUCAGCUUGUCGGUGGGGUAGUGGCUUACCAAGGCUUUGACGGGUAGCCGGCCUGAGAGGGUGACCGGCCACAUUGGGACUGAGAUACGGCCCAGACUCCUACGGGAGGCAGCAGUGGGGAAUAUUGCACAAUGGGCGGAAGCCUGAUGCAGCAACGCCGCGUGCGGGAUGACGGCCUUCGGGUUGUAAACCGCUUUCGCCUGUGACGAAGCGUGAGUGACGGUAAUGGGUAAAGAAGCACCGGCUAACUACGUG